CAAGUCUUGACGUCCCAUUGACGAGAGGGCAAUGCCUCUUUCCCUUCGGGGCAAUGGAGACAGGUGGUGCAUGGUUGUCGUCAGCUCGUGUCGUGAGAUGUUGGGUUAAGUCCCGCAACGAGCGCAACCCCUGUGCUUAGUAGCCAGCAGUAAGAUGGGCACUCUAGGGAGACUGCCGGGGAUAACUCGGAGGAAGGUGGGGACGACGUCAAAUCAUCAUGCCCCUUAUGACUUGGGCUACACACGUGCUACAAUGGCGUAAACAAAGGGAAGCAGCCCUGUGAAGGUGAGCGAAUCCCAAAAAUAACGUCUCAGUUCGGAUUGUAGUCUGCAACUCGACUACAUGAAGCUGGAAUCGCUAGUAAUCGCGAAUCAGAAUGUCGCGGUGAAUACGUUCCC
rnacentral:rRNA from 1 species